AAAAUACUCCCUCCGUCCGGAAAUACUUGUCGGAGAAAUGCAUAAAAAUGGAUGUAUCUAGAACUAAAAUAUGUCUAGAUACAUCCAUUCCUCCGACAAGUAUUUCCGGACGGAGGGAGUACUAG
rnacentral:pre_miRNA from 1 species